GGAGUUGGUAGCUCAGUGGUAGAGUGCAUGCGUUGUAUGUAUGAUGUCCUGGGUUCAAUCUCCAGCUUCUCCU
rnacentral:tRNA from 1 species